rnacentral:rRNA from 1 species
UGGAUGUAGAGGACAGUGGCGGACGGGUGAGUAACGCGUGAGGAACCUGCCUUUCAGAGGGGGACAACAGUUGGAAACGACUGCUAAUACCGCAUAACAUAUAGAUGUCGCAUGGCAUUUAUGUCAAAGAUUUAUCGCUGAGAGAUGGACUCGCGUCCGAUUAGCUAGAUGGUGAGGUAACGGCCCACCAUGGCGACGAUCGGUAGCCGGACUGAGAGGUUGAACGGCCACAUUGGGACUGAGACACGGCCCAAACUCC